rnacentral:rRNA from 1 species
GAUGAACGCUGGCGGCGUGCCUAAUACAUGCAAGUCGAGCGAACAGAUAAGGAGCUUGCUCCUUUGACGUUAGCGGCGGACGGGUGAGUAACACGUGGGUAACCUAUCUAUAAGACUGGAAUAACUCCGGGAAACCGGAGCUAAUGCCGGAUAACAUGUUGAACCGCAUGGUUCUACAGUGAAAGGCGGCUUUGCUGUCACUUAUAGAUGGACCCGCGCCGUAUUAGCUAGUUGGUGAGGUAACGGCUCACCAAGGCAACGAUGCGUAGCCGACCUGAGAGGGUGAUCGGCCACACUGGAACUGAGACACGGUCCAGACUCCUACGGGAGGCAGCAGUAGGGAAUCUUCCGCAAUGGGCGAAAGCCUGACGGAGCAACGCCGCGUGAGUGAUGAAGGUCUUCGGAUCGUAAAACUCUGUUAUUAGGGAAGAACAAAUGCGUAAGUAACUGUGCGCGUCUUGACGGUACCUAAUCAGAAAGCCACGGCUAACUACGUG